UCAGGACGAACGCUGGCGGCGUGCCUAAUACAUGCAAGUAGAACGCUGAAGGAGGAGCUUGCUCUUCUGGAUGAGUUGCGAACGGGUGAGUAACGCGUAGGUAACCUGCCUGGUAGCGGGGGAUAACUAUUGGAAACGAUAGCUAAUACCGCAUAACAUUGACUAUUGCAUGAUAGUCAAUUGAAAGGUGCAAAUGCACCACUACCAGAUGGACCUGCGUUGUAUUAGCUAGUUGGUGGGGUAACGGCUCACCAAGGCGACGAUACAUAGCCGACCUGAGAGGGUGAUCGGCCACACUGGGACUGAGACACGGCCCAGACUCCUACGGGAGGCAGCAGUAGGGAAUCUUCGGCAAUGGACGGAAGUCUGACCGAGCAACGCCGCGUGAGUGAAGAAGGUUUUCGGAUCGUAAAGCUCUGUUGUAAGAGAAGAACGAGUGUGAGAGU
rnacentral:rRNA from 1 species